rnacentral:rRNA from 1 species
GGGGGAUAUUGCGCAAUGGGGGAAACCCUGACGCAGCAACGCCGCGUGAAGGAAGAAGGUCUUCGGAUUGUAAACUUCUUUUGUCAGGGACGAAGAAAGUGACGGUACCUGACGAAUAAGCUCCGGCUAACUACGUGCCAGCAGCCGCGGUAAUACGUAGGGAGCGAGCGUUGUCCGGAUUUACUGGGUGUAAAGGGUGCGUAGGCGGCCGAGCAAGUCAGUUGUGAAAACUAUGGGCUUAACCCAUAACGUGCAAUUGAAACUGUCCGGCUUGAGUGAAGUAGAGGUAGGCGGAAUUCCCGGUGUAGCGGUGAAAUGCGUAGAGAUCGGGAGGAACACCAGUGGCGAAGGCGGCCUACUGGGCUUUAACUGACGCUGAGGCACGAAAGCAUGGGUAGCAAACAGGAUUAGAUACCCUGGUAGUCCAUGCCGUAAACGAUGAUUACUAGGUGUGGGGGGAUUGACCCCUUCCGUGCCGCAGUUAACACAAUAAGUAAUCCACCUGGGGAGUACGACCGCAAGGUUGAAACUCAAAGGAAUUGACGGGGGCCCGCACAAGCAGUGGAGUAUGUGGUUUAAUUCGAAGCAACGCGAAGAACCUUACCAGGUCUUGACAUCGAGUGACGUAUCCAGAGAUGGAUAUUUCCUUCGGGACACAAAGACAGGUGGUGCAUGGUUGUCGUCAGCUCGUGUCGUGAGAUGUUGGGUUAAGUCCCGCAACGAGCGCAACCCUUAUCAUUAGUUGCUACGCAAGAGCACUCUAAUGAGACUGCCGUUGACAAAACGGAGGAAGGUGGGGACGACGUCAAAUCAUCAUGCCCCUUAUGACCUGGGCUACACACGUAAUACAAUGGCGGAGAACAAAGGGAUGCAAAGCCGCGAGGCAGAGCGAACCCCAAAAAGCCGUCCCAGUUCGGAUCGCAGGCUGCAACCCGCCUGCGUGAAGUCGGAAUCGCUAGUAAUCGUGGGUCAGCAUACCACGGUGAAUACGUUCCCG